UCCAACUGUGAUGAGCUCUACAGACCUGUAAUGAUUUGCGGGUAUGAUCGCAACCAUUUAUGAACAUCUAAGGGACUGAGUUAUA